UUUCGCAUGGCGCAGUGGCUGAGCGUUUUGUCUGGCAAGCAACAGGUGGAGGGUUCGAUGCCCGAGUUUGACAAAG
rnacentral:tRNA from 1 species